rnacentral:tRNA from 1 species
GGGGUUGUGGCUCAGUGGCAAAGCGCUUGCCUCGAAAGUAGGAGGCACUGGGUUUGAUCCUCAGCACUA